rnacentral:rRNA from 1 species
CGGUUGAUCCUGCCGGACCCUACUGCUAUCGGGGUGGGACUAAGACAUGCGAGUUGAACGUCUCUAAGCUAUUUAAAGAGUCGUAGCGUACGGCUCAGUAACACGUGGCUAACCUACCCUUAGGACGGGUACAACCCCGGGCGACUGGGGUGAAUACCCGAUAGGCGAGGAGGCCUGAGCAGGUUCCUCGUCGAAAAGGCGUUGAAACCAUGCUUUUCGACGUCGCCUAAGGAUGGGGCCGCGCCCGAUCAGGUUGUUGGUGGGGUAACGGCUCACCAAGCCUAUAACCGGUACGGGCCGUGAGAGCGGGAGCCCGGAGAUGGGCACUGAGACAAGGGCCCAGGCCCUACGGGGCGCAGCAGUCGCGAAAACUCCGCAAUGCGCGAAAGCGUGACGGGGCUACCCCGAGUGCCGUCCGCUGAGGAUGGCUUUUCCCCGGUGUAAUGAGCCGGGGGAAUAAGGAGAGGGCAAGUCUGGUGUCAGCCGCCGCGGUAAUACCAGCUCUCCGAGUGGUAGGGAUGAUUAUUGGGCUUAAAGCGUCCGUAGCCGGCUUAGCAAGUCUCCUGUUAAAUUCAGCGACCUAAUCGUUGAGCCGCGGGAGAUACUACUAGGCUAGGAGGCGGGAGAGGCCGACGGUAUUCUCGGGGUAGGGGUGAAAUCCUAUAAUCCCGGGAGGACCACCAGUGGCGAAGGCUGUCGGCUAGAACGCGCUCGACGGUGAGGGACGAAAGCUGGGGGAGCGAACCGGAUUAGAUACCCGGGUAGUCCCAGCUGUAAACGAUGCGGGCUAGGUGUUGGGGUGGCUACGAGCCACUUCUGUGCCGCAGGGAAGCCAUUAAGCCCGCCGCCCGGGGAGUACGGCCGCAAGGCUGAAACUUAAAGGAAUUGGCGGGGGAGCAC